AGAGUCAUCACUAAGGGCUCAUCUCUGAGGGCUCCAUGUGACUCUGGUGGAGAGGUAGAUCAUGAUUUGGGCGGCAAUGUUUGCUCACUCUUUCCCUUACUAGAGUUCUGCCAUAGAAUCAUGGAGUCAACAUCCCAGGACAGAAGGGCAACUCACGUCAUCACUAUAAAACCAAACGAAACUGUAUUGACUGCAUUUCCCUACAGACCUCAUAGCUCUCUGCUGGAUUUUCUGAAGGGAGAGCCAAGAGUCUUGGGGGCUACCCAGAUCCUGCUUGCUCUAAUCAUUGUGGGCUUUGGAACUAUAUUUGCACUUAAUUACAUCGGUUUCUCCCAAAGACUUCCCCUUGUUGUCCUCACAGGAUAUCCAUUCUGGGGAGCACUUAUUUUUAUUCUUACAGGAUACCUCACAGUAACCGAUAAGAAAUCAAAACUUCUGGGUCAAGGUGUCACGGGCAUGAAUGUUAUCAGCUCCUUGGUUGCGAUAACUGGGAUUACUUUCACCAUUCUCAGCUACAGACAUCAAGACAAGUACUGCCAGAUGCCAUCCUUUGAAGAAAUAUGUGUUUUCAGUAGAACUCUUUUCAUUGACUUCAUCCUUCUCACUCCUCCACACUCCAGCCACUUCCUAUAAUCCCUUAAUGUGUCAAGUAUCCACGGCCCCAAGAUGAUCAGAGGAUCAGCUUCUUCCGGCUUUGAACCGUCACCAGGGAAUUUUGUUAAUCUUACUGAUCAUCAGCAUAGCAGAGCUCAGCAUCUCUGUGACUAUUGCAUCCUUUAGAAGCAAGUGCUGGACACAGUCAGAUGAGGUUCUGUUUUUCUUGCCUUCGGAUGUUACUCAAAAUAGUGAACAACCUGCCCCAGAAGAAAAUGAUCAAUUACAAUUUGUGCUUCAAGAAGAGUUUUCCAGUGAUGAUUCAACAACAAAUGCACAAUCUGUUAUCUUUGGAGGCUAUGCUUUCUUCAAGUUAACACUCUCUAGGAGUCCUUUAGUCUCCCAACCAGGUAAUAAAGGUAGAGAAUUUGUGCCAGAUGAACAAAAGCAAAGUAUCCUUCCAUCUCCCAAAUUUUCAGAGGAAGAAAUUGAACCUUUGCCUCCCACACUAGAGAAAAAGCCCUCAGAAAAUAUGUCCAUUCAGCUAGACUCUACAUUUAAACAAAUGAAAGAUGAAGAUCUACAAUCUGCUAUUGUACAACCUUCUCAAAUGCAAACCAAGCUUCUGCAGGACCAAGCUGCGUCACUCCAAGUUUUUCCAUCCCAUUCUGCACUAAAACUCGAAGAUAUAUCACCUGAAGACUUGCCAUCCCAAGCUCUACCAGUAGAAGGCCUGUCAGAACAAACCAUGCCAUCUAAGUCUACAUCAUCCCAUGUCAAACAGUCUUCUAAUCUGACAGCUAAUGACCUGCCCCCUCAAGGCAUACUAUCCCAAGACACAUCAUCUCAAGAUAUGCUGUUUCAUGACAUGACAUCCCAAGAUAUGCAAUCCCUAGAUAUGCUAUCUCAAGACACACCAUCCCACGCCAUGCCACCUCAAGACAUACCUUCCCAAGAUAUGCUAUCCCAAGCUCUAUCAGCGCAUGCCAUAUUACCUGAAGCCUCAACAUCCCAUAUUGUGCAGUUCCCUGAAAUACAACACCUACUUCAGCAGCCCCCAGAUCUUCAACCAGAAAACACUGAACCUCAAAACCAGCAAAUUUUACAAAUGUCAUAUCAAGAUAUUAGAUCAGAAGUUAUGGAAGAGACCAAAGAAUGGAAAUCUGAGGAGGAACUCCAUAGAAGAAAAUCCUCAAGACGGCAUUCCUUAAACCAGCAAACCAAAGCCUUGCAAUACUUAAGGAGACAUUCUUUAGACGUGCAAGCCAAAGGCCAGAAAUCCUCAAAGAGGCAUUCCUUAGAUCAGCAAAGCAAAGGCUGGCAAUCUCCAAAGCAGAAAUCCUUAGACCAGCAAAUCAAAGACUGGCUAUCCCCAAAGAGGCACUCCGUAGAUAAGCAAGCUCAACUUAAUCAAACUAAAGAGCAACUCCCAGAUCAGCAAGCUGAAGAUCAGCAAGCCAAAGGGGAACAAUACCCAGAAGGACAAUCUAAAGAUGGACAAGUUAAAGACCAGCAGACUGAUAAGGAGCAAAACUCAAAGAAGCAAACCCAGGAUCAGCAAACUGAAGACCAGCCGGCCCAAGAGAAGAAAUCCCCGAAAGGACAAUUCCAAAAUGUUCAAGCCGAAGGACAGCAAGCUCAGGUGGAGAAAGUGCCAAAACUGUUAUGCCAAGAUUCAGAAUCCCAAAUACAGCAAUACCAAUUCUGGCAAUUCCACAAAGGCAAUCUCCAGGCUGGACAACCCAGGACUGUCAAUCUUUUGGCCAAGAAUCCCCUGACUGGAUAACUCAGGGCUGGAGAAACAAAGAUUAUAAAGCACGAGAAUGGCAAUUUGAAAUGAAGCACUGGCAAACACAGGAUCUAUUAGAGAAAGAAGCCCUAAAGCAGAAAGCUCUAUACCAAGAAGUCCAAACCCAGCACGCAACAGCCCAACAUAACCUAGAAUGUCAAGACACUCAAGAUAAAGACCAACAAGACCUUCAAUCCAGAGUUACACAAAAAGGAGAUAUGUACACUAGAGACAUCAAACCAGGGGACAUGAAAUGUAUAGGGCAAACCUCAGGGGACCUGCAAUCAGAAGACGUGAAGGCAGAUUUUCAUUCUUCUUCUGGCCAAAGCUCAGUACAAGACACAUGUUUAGCCUAUUUGUCCAAUCUAGAUUCAGAACAAGAUGUGCAACCAGACACUUCAGCUUCCUCAAAUUCAUAUAAAGAAGAUGUGAAUUUAACUUCUACUUCAUGUGAUCCAAAAGAUCAACAGCAAUCUGAAGACUCUGACUAACAUGCAGAAUCUACCCAAUACCACACUGCCCCCAUUAAUGGAAUUAAAUUGGGAAAAACAAUAUUGCCUCCUCCAAUCUGUGUUCUCAACUGUGGUUGCCACCUCAUUAACUUACAAAAAAAUGAAGGGCAUGCUGAGCACUCAAACAAUUUGUUCUUACUUAAAAUAAAAUGACAACAAACCAAAUGUUAACACUGUAUCAUCACUUUAUGUAUGUGAAGAAAUAAUUCACAUGUAUAUUCCUUGUCAUCAAA